AGCCUGGCAACGUCCUACUCUCACAGGGACAAGGUCCCAACUACCAUCGGCGCUAGAGAGCUUAACUUCCGUGUUCGGUAUGGGAACGGGUGUGACCUCUCUGCCAUCAUUACCA
rnacentral:rRNA from 2 species